UACGGAGGGGCUAGCGUUGCUCGGAAUCACUGGGCGUAAAGGGUGCGUAGGCGGGUCUUUAAGUCAGGGGUGAAAUCCUGGAGCUCAACUCCAGAACUGCCUUUGAUACUGAAGAUCUUGAGUUCGGGAGAGGUGAGUGGAACUGCGAGUGUAGAGGUGAAAUUCGUAGAUAUUCGCAAGAACACCAGUGGCGAAGGCGGCUCACUGGCCCGAUACUGACGCUGAGGCACGAAAGCGUGGGGAGCAAACAGG
rnacentral:rRNA from 1 species